AGGGUGGGGGCACCCUCAGGGCACUAUAGUGCCAGGAAAACGAGUAUGUUUUCCUGGCACUAUAGUGGUCCUCUAACUCUUAAUUAGCUAACAAUUGACCAGUGAGACUGCAGGGGCAUGAUCAAUACGCCAAAACUACUCCAUUAAGCUAAAGGUGGCUAUAGUGUUGAUUUAAAUACCUCUGGGAUUCCAGUGGUAUAACCCAACCAUCUAUAAUCCAGUAAAGUAAACACAAAUUCUG